AAUAAUUUCUUCGUUUACCAAUCAGCAAGACAAUUUCUUGCAGAAGUCGCCAACAUAAGACAUCUCUAGGGGCCUGCUUUCAGAAAUUAUUGAAAAGCCAUAAUUCACAGCUACAUAAGAGUGCAGCGAAGGACUCUCUCAGUCAGAUGUGACCUGACAAGUUAAGUAGAUGAUACUCUUCUUAAACAUUAAUCCAAAAACCACAGCACCUGCCAGAUUUGCUUUGAUGUGACGUCCGAUGGGAUCUGCUGUCCUUCUCGGUACUACUCCAAUCGAAGCAUAUGGGCUGUCAUACGAUAACGUACAGCUCCAGCCUCUUCAUCUGCCCACUGUGCAGAAGGCCAUGAAGUGGCUCGUAUCUGAUUCAAGUUGCAGCCGGUGACCUGCUGCUGUAGUUCUUGUAAAGUGGUAUGGAGGAGGUUAGACCAUACCCCAACUCCUGGACUUGUCAGCUGUGCCUGGGGAGAUAACCAGCACCAGAUGUGGCUUGUGAUGCUCCAGUGUAAAUAACCAGCCAGUGACCCCACUGGGUGUUGUUAGAAAACUUGGAAUCAUGUGCAUUUCUUCUGGUUGUUGGCUGGAAUUUGCGGUUUCUGAUGUGUAUGUGUACAUGCAUGAACGAUGUGUGUAUGUAUGUGUGUGUCUACCCUGCAAUGCACUGCUAUCUACGAUGUACACCGACUAGCCUAGUGUCCCAUGCUUCCAGGACACGUUUUGGAC